GACGGAGGAUGCAAGUGUUAUCCGGAAUCACUGGGCGUAAAGCGUCUGUAGGUGGUUCGAAAAGUCCACUGUUAAAAAUUGAGGCUUAACUUCAAAGAUGCCGUGGAAACUUUCAAACUAGAGUAUGGUAGGGGUAGAGGGAAUUUCCAGUGGAGCGAGUGAAAUGCGUAGAUAUUGGAAAGACCACCGAUGGCGAAGGCACUCUACUGGGCCACUACUGACACUGAGAGACGAAAGCUAGGGGAGCAAAUGGG
rnacentral:rRNA from 1 species